rnacentral:lncRNA from 10 species
AAUUAUCCUGUUGAUUUGGGCAAUAAAGAUAGCCCAGGGAAGAUGAUAGCCUGCCCCUUCCUCUGGGAGCUCUGUGCCACUGAGGUACGAACUUGUUGCCAGUAUGAACACACCUAUAAGAUGUGACUGGAGACAAGUUGAGAAGUCUUAUCUAGUCAGGAAGAACAAAAACAGGCACUGACUUAAAAAAGAAGUCUGGGCACGUUUUUCUAGAGCAGCUGUGCUAUGCCGGGUGUUCACUUCCACUCCUGGUUGCCUCAGACACUCUGAAGCCCUAAUGCUGAAAUGGCUGAGUUGCCCCAACAGCAAAGACAACAGUCUGGUCCUCCCCCUGGGAGCUCUGACUCAGGGAGGCCUGAAACCUCUGUCGGACAGAGAACAGCAGUGAAGGCAGCUGGAGACCCUAGUUGAAAGGCUUCACCUGCUGAUUAGAAAUGUGGUCGGGGACUGACUUAAACAAGAGUCUGGCCACGUUUUUGUAGUGUGGCCAUGCUUAGCUGAGGUUCCUCUUCCACCCCUUGUCACCUUGGGCUUUCCAAAGCCCGCAAACCAGAACGGCUAGUCACCCAAACAGCAAAGGUGGUGGCCUGCCCCUCUCUCUGGGAGCUCUGUCCCGUGAACACUUCAAAUUUCUAUUGGCCAAGGAAUGCUGGUGGCGGUAGCUGGAGGCCCCAUUUGGGAGGUCCUGUACAGUGAUGUGCGACAGGGUCGGGGGCCUGCUUACAGAACCAUUCUGGCCAUGAUUUGGUAAAGCAGCUAUGCUGUGCUGUGGGAUCUCUUCUGCCCCUUGUCGGUUUAUACUCUCCAAAGCCCUCAGGCUGGAAUGACUAAGUUGCCUGAACAGGAAAGAUGGCGGCCUGCCCCAUCUAUUCUCUCAGAGUUCAUCUUGUUUGAUGGAGCUUAAUUUUUAGCCUGUUAAUUUUAUUGUCUACAUUAGACUUCUUCGGAAAGAAUCUGCUAUAUUUUAGGUUAGAUAUAUGAGAAUUCAUUGUUUUCUGUAAAUAAACCUGUUCAUGUCUUGUUCUCUGGAAAGAAAUCUCUUUCAACUAUCUGACUUUGGUCACAGUCAUGUAGAGCAGUAGCCAGUCUAUAAUGACAUAAUUGAAUUUCCAUUUCCAGUGUUUUGUUUUUGUGUCUUACAUUGUACAGUUCAGAAAUGAGCAUUUUAUUCCCAAUUGUCAAAAUGCUAAGCUGUCCACUGUACUGAAAUACUGUUUUUGUUAAUGCUUCGUCAUUCAAUUUUCUUUAAGGUGAACAUUUUUAUCCAACUUUUCUCAAGUCAGAGUACAGCCACCCUCUAGGGUGCCCAGACUCACCUUCCCUGCAGAUGGAGGCAAGGAGGUGACAGAGAAAAGCCCCCUGCCUAAGGUCACAUAGUGGCCAGCAGGCCACGUACUCACCAAUCAUCCCUGACCAGGUUCCCAGUGAUGAGUGAUGAGGCCCCUAAUGACCACUCCUCCAUUGACCAGGUCCCACUGAUCAAGUCCCCGCUGACCAUGUCUUCCUAACCAGGCCCACACUUAAUAGGCCUCAUGGACCAGACCCCACUGACCAAUUUUCCACUGACCUGGUCCCCACUGACAAGACCGGGUUCCCACUGACAAGACCACAAUUUACCAGGUUGCUGCUGACCCGACCCCCCACUGAACAAUUCUCCAUGGAUGAGUCCCUAGCUGACCGAGCCCCCUCUGACCAGGCCCUCAUUGACCAGGCUCCAAGCCACUAAGGCCCCACACUGACCAGGCCUCUGGUAUACUGUAUAUGCCUCACCAACCAGUUUUUCAUUGUUUAUGUUCCAACUGAUCAGGCCCCACUAAUAAGGCCACCACUGACUAGGUCCCCCCACUGACCAGGCUUCCAAUGAUUAGGUCACCAGGUCCCCACUGAUGAGGCCUUUACUGAGGAGGCCACCACUAACCAGGCCCCUGCUGAUCAGGUCCCACAUGACUAGGUCCUGAUGACCAGGUCAUCUCUGACCAUGGUCCACUGACCAGGCCCCAGAGCAAAGGGGUUCAAAGUCUCAUUACAAUGUCCCCCUCAGCUCAUAGACCCUCCCUCCCUGCAUGUGUGCCCAGAGGUCAGGCCCUGGGGUUUUUUUUGGGACAUGGCCUUUCCUCCAAGACACAGGGAGAGACAGUUGGCCUCAGGCUCCAGGUUCCCAGCUCCACACUCACCCCAAAGGCCCUCUGGGCCCGUCUCAAAGGAGAAAGUGAGGUGGCCUGACACUGCCUGGACACACCAUCUACCCUAUUCCUGAGCGUCAGAGUGUGAGGAAGGGAGGGACAUUUGGCAGAUGAGACACACUGUGCUGUUGGGUCUCCCAGGGCCCUUCCCAUAUAGCCCCGAUCUAAAGACACAACACAGAGGCUACAGGAAGACUAAUCCAGAACCUCUGAGGCUCAGCCAGGGACCACAUGAGGACUCUCUCCAGACAGCCAGAAGGCCCUUUGCUAGUUUCCUGGUACCUCAGUGGAUGUGGCAGCAGUUCUUCUGUUGGGGACCAAACAAAGAAGACAAUAAGAAAAUAAUCAUCUGGCAACCAUCAAAGUAAUAAUUGUUCAAACACAAGUCAUCCAUGAAAUGCUAAAUCUAGUGGGUUCUGAGGAGUAACAAGAUAUUUACAGAGCCUCAAAGUAUCUCCAUACAAAAUACGGUUGAACUACAAAAAGAAAAUCAUAACAUUAGCAUGGACAAACCUGGCAGAUGUGGCUUACCCGUGGAUUCUAGAGAAGAAAGUAGAUGGGAGCAAGUGUCCAACACAGCAGCAGCUGGAAAGAAAAAUAAAGAAUUAUGUUCUUUACCUAAAACACUUCAGUUGACUAAGUGUGCGUUUAAAAACUAAAGAGUUGAUAACUUUAUCAGAGUUAAUAAGAAUGAGACAUAUGUAUGUGCAUUUACAAUACAAAAUUACUAUUUAAUAAUUUACACAUGGCAUUAAUUCUAAUUGUGUUUAAAUAUCAGAGUUUUUCAUUCUUCAUUCAUGUAAUCAACAGCCACAUGCUAAGGUACUAGAACCAGCACUGGAAUUACAAGAUGAAGAUGGCAUGGUCCACCUCCCAACAGUCAUAUGCUAUAACCUAAAAAAACAGACAGGCAGGCAAUGUCCAUAUAGAGUCAAAGAUACCAUGACAGGUAUACAGCAGGGCACUACAGGAACACAUAGAAGGGACAUCUACCCACUUUUAUGUCAAUAUCAUGGGCUUUCUGGUGGAGGAGAUAACAUAGGUUGAUACCUGAAGGACAAGAAAAAGCUUCCCAGAUAGAGGGAAGAGGGGAAGGCAAAGAGCCAGAGGUGAGGAAGAGCCCUGCAGAGUUCCACUCCAUCCAGUUUGGUGCUAGAGCAAAGGGCAGAGUGCAGUAAGUGGCGAGAGACAAGGCUGAGUAACUUGACGAGAAUUACUUUGAUAUGGGUGUUUUUAUUUCAUGGUGAAAAAUUUGGAACUUUUCCUGAGAACAAGUGUAAGCCAAUGACACAGUAAUUGACAGGAGAUUUAAAAUGUCACCUGUCAAGUGACUGCUUAUGAAGGGUUAUUGCUCAGCUAAGUAUUUCUGAAUGAGUCUUAUGUCUGUUGGCCUUCAAUCUCUACCGAAACCCUGAGAACUUGAUGAUGCUUUUGUUUUCUGAGAAUCGUUUCAGUGUGCUGGCUGACAGUUCCAUGAGGAUGGCA